UACGUGAGGGUGCGAGCGUUAAUCGGAAUUACUGGGCGUAAAGCGUGCGCAGGCGGUUGUGCAAGACAGAUGUGAAAUCCUCGGGCUCAACCUGGGAACUGCAUUUGUGACUGCACGGCUGGAGUGCGGCAGAGGGGGAUGGAAUUCCGCGUGUAGCAGUGAAAUGCGUAGAGAUGCGGAGGAACACCGAUGGCGAAGGCAGCCCCCUGGGCUGACACUGACGCUCAGGCACGAAGCGUGGGGAGCAAACAGG
rnacentral:rRNA from 1 species